GGAGAUUUGGCUGUGUCAUGCUAGUAGCUGCUUAUGUAGUCUCGAGCCUCUAGCCUGCAGCAGAGAUGAGGAGCAGGCUACAGAGGUCUGUUCACAGGAUCCGGGGCCUUUCUUUCUGCCUCUAAGAUCUUUUUCUGGCUCCAUCUCUGAAAGACCAGUCCAGGGAACCUCCUGGCACCACACUCACUUUACACAUGGUGCGGGACCAUUUCUUGGCUGGAUGCACUGACUACCCAGAGAAUAAUUAACCACAGCAUGCUGAGGACACACAUCACUUGCAGAUAGACCAGAGGCCGUUUCAGACUCAAAGCUGAUUCAAGAUGCCCCACCAUCCCCUUGAUGUCAGGACAUGAGAGCGUCAGGGGGUUACUCUGCCUCACUUACUCACAUGCACGUUGACCCACAUUACCCAACAGUGUGCUACCGCUCCUGUGUAUAUUAAUAACCACGUGCACAUCCUACCCUCUGUGCUCAGACCAGGAAAAGGCUUCAUGUUUCAGCUCAUUAUGUGAAACCUAUGGACUAAUGCUAUUCUACCUUUUUGUUAUUGCUAAUUCCAUGAAAGCCAAAGCCUGAUAUAUCUUAUUCUUCCAUGCCAUAUAGCUCCAUUGUUGUCCAGAAAACAAUUUAAAACACAUCAGUGAGCCACACUGUAGCACUGGGUGCCAUGUUCUUUCAGUACCACGAACAAACACGCAUACAAUGUAGUUUAUUCUGACUUAAUCCCUACAUAUCUCAUCCUACUGCCUCAAAUAAAUGUGCAAAUAAGCAACUGUUUGCUAACAACUUUGCCCUAUUAACUUAAAAGCUGAGUGUACACAGUACUUGAUUAAAAAACUAUUUUGUCAUUUA